rnacentral:rRNA from 1 species
UUCCAGACUCCUACGGGAGGCAGCAGUGGGGAAUAUUGCACAAUGGGGGGAACCCUGAUGCAGCGACGCCGCGUGGGUGAAGAAGCGCCUCGGCGCGUAGAGCCCUGUCAGCAGGGAAGAAAAUGACGGUACCUGAAGAAGAAGCCCCGGCUAACUACGUGCCAGCAGCCGCGGUAAUACGUAGGGGGCAAGCGUUAUCCGGAUUUACUGGGUGUAAAGGGGGCGCAGACGGCGAUGCAAGCCAGGAGUGAAAGCCCGGGGCCCAACCCCGGGACUGCUCUUGGAACUGCGUGGCUGGAGUGCAGGAGGGGCAGGCGGAAUUCCUGGUGUAGCGGUGAAAUGCGUAGAUAUCAGGAGGAACACCGGUGGCGAAGGCGGCCUGCUGGACGGCAACUGACGUUGAGGCCCGAAAGCGUGGGGAGCAAACAGGAUUAGAUACCCCGGUACGU